CUAUACGGAAUGUCACCGUUUCUGAGUGCUGUUGUGAAGGGUCGCAGGGAGUGUCUCCAUUUGAGUGUGUCCCCUGAAAGGUCAUUAUAAAACGUCAGCGACAUAUUUUCGAAACGAUAAGGCGAUAGUCCUUUUAGUGCCGCCAUUAUUGCUGCCUUAUCUCUGUUGCAGGUUAGUUGUACCACUAUGUCUCCAGUGGUGGUUGCAGGUGCUUGAUGUGGCUUUG